ACCUACCUCUCUCUCUUCUUCCUCAUCCUCUCUCUCUCUCUCACAAACCUUUCUCUCUUCUUCCUCACCCGCCUCUCUUGUUCCUACCUCUCUCUUUCACCCCGACGCUAGCGCCUUCUCUCUUGUCUCCGACUGUGCCGCUGAGCGCACCGACGCCAGCUCGUCCCCAUGGAGCACCGCGCCGCCCCAUCGCUCCGCCCCAGCGAGCGCCACCGCCCUCCAUUCCGGUAGCACGCAGCUGCUGGCCGUUUAUCUUGAUGCAAUAUAGAUGGUGUAGAUAGAGAUGCGCGCUGAGCACCUACUCUAAUUCUCUCUCUAAAACAUAAUAUGAUUUACGCCCCAUACUAAGUAGCACGCUUACCUAGUUACGGAUAUAUUUAUACAUUAGAAUGCGUCUAGAUGAAACUGUUUAUAGACAAAGCCGGCUCACUGUGUAUAUCUUUUGCACGUAUACCAACAUGACUUUAUUUAUCAGACA